CCUACGGGAGGCAGCAGUCGAGAAUUUUUCACAAUGGACGAAAGUCUGAUGGAGCGACGCCGCGUGGAGGAUGAAGGUUCUUGGAUUGUAAACUCCUGUCACUGCAGAACAAGGCUGCGUAUGUUAAUAGCAAACGCAGUUGAUGGUAUGCGGAGAGGAAGGGACGGCUAACUCUGUGCCAGCAGCCGCGGUAAU
rnacentral:rRNA from 1 species